AGUGAACGCUGGCGGCAGGCCUAACACAUGCAAGUCGAGCGGCAGCGCGGGGGCAACCCUGGCGGCGAGCGGCGGACGGGUGAGGAAUGCAUCGGAAUCUACCCUGUCGUGGGGGAUAACGUAGGGAAACUUACGCUAAUACCGCAUACGACCGAGAGGUGAAAGUGGGGGACCGCAAGGCCUCACGCGAUUGGAUGAGC
rnacentral:rRNA from 1 species